GGUAAAACGUCAUCUCGCUUCAGGCUUAUUCAAAAUCUAACCACACCGGGUGAAAAAGGUACUACUUUUCAAAGGUCAGCUAAAUUUUUGUUUACUUUAUUUCACAUUUUUAUGAUUUCUUUUGAGGUUUUAAGGAUCCUCUUACAUUUUCUUAUAUGACACCACAGACAACUAGCUUGGGUGAACUUAUAAAAUAUAAAGACUAGUCACAAAUCGUUUGUAAAAUUCAACCAAGAUAGCGACUGCAGGAACCAAAUUUCUCACAAUAUUACAUGUUUUUCCAUUUGAUUAUCAAGAUAUUUUUGCGAUCCUAGAGCGCUUGUUUGCAGCUUUACUCAAAGGUAUCACGUGACAUCCAACAUCCCGUGACGACUUAAUAAUUUUCUCAUAUUAUUACAUGCUUUUUUUAUUUUAAUCUUCAAGAGAUGUUUGAUUUAGGGCCUUAAUUUCAACGGAAUUCAACCAAAUUACUUAAAUAAUUUCUUAAUCUCAAUUGAUUUUAAAAUUAUUUAUUAUUUUCGCAAAGAAAGAUUACAACGUUAGUGCCUCGUUAUCGAGUGAAGGCUUGGUUGGCAUUUCAAUAUGGCGGACAAGAAGAGAAAAGUGAUUCUUCUUUGGAUUAUUUACAAAGCUGCAAAGACGACGCCUUUUGACUUAUUAAUUCAGCCUCUAGAAUCUAGAACACGAAUAAAAAAUAAAUGAAUGAAUGAAACAAACUGGCUGGGAAAAUACCGGAUGUUAAAAGUGUUAUACCCGGAACAAACAUGAAAUUGGAGAAGAAAGAGACCCACUUAUCUAUAUUUGCUGCAGAGAAAAAGAACUUGGGGGUGCUUGAUGGACUAUUGGUUACACUGCUUAGAGUUACCUCGAGCACCUCAUAGUUGAUCAAAGUCUAGGCAAGGCUCACAGACCAAGUUGGAAUUUGGUUUAGCCAAAAACUGGAGAUCAUUCAGAAAAACCUUUGAAUCAAGAGAGACCCCCCAAUGAACUAUCCUCACAUAAGAUGGUCAUCGAACUCAAUCUCUGAUACUGGUCCAUUCUUCUUGUACUUCUCCAAGUUUGUCUCGAGACUAUAAACGCAUAAAACAUUUUUUGUGAGGAACACAAGAAGAAGUAUUUUGUCCUUUUGCAAGAUAAAGCAAAGCAAAUUUUGGUGAGCCAGGUUCUAUGAAGGGUGGAUAGUGCUAUCCAGCAGAUAAAUCCUUUACAAGUGGAUAAGUCAAUGCUGUCAUCCAAUAAAUUUAUCCACUGGAUAAGGAUUUAUCCAUUGGAUAGCRUUAUCCACCCUUUGUACAACCRGGCCCUGAAGAAUUGCAUCAUCUAUUUAUUUUUCACUCAUCCAUUAAUUAAUUAAUUMAUGUUAACUCGUCUCCAAGGCUGUACACAAUAGACACRGUGUCCAAGCAUUUGAAAAGCUUACCUUGAAACUUUCUCUUUGAGAGCUUUGUUUUCUUUAUGGAAUUUCUUGGCAUCCUCAGACUGUUUAAAAAGAAA